UGGGAGUUUGGCAGCACACUGUCUAAGGAGGUCACACACUUGAGGACAGAAAAGAGUAAGACUCCUCUCCCAGAGCUAGUCUCACCAGUGUACCUUGGUGUGGCUUACGGGGUCCCUGAGAUUCCCAAGGAGCCAUUGUGCUGACCCAGUCUCCAGCCUCCUUGUCCAAAUCUCCAAGAGAGAGAGUCACCCUCAGCUGCAAGGCCAG
rnacentral:lncRNA from 1 species